UACGGGAGGCAGCAGUGGGGAAUAUUGCACAAUGGGCGGAAGCCUGAUGCAGCAACGCCGCGUGCGGGAUGACGGCCUUCGGGUUGUAAACCGCUUUCGCCUGUGACGAAGCGUGAGUGACGGUAAUGGGUAAAGAAGCACCGGCUAACUACGUGCCAGCAGCCGCGGUAAUACGUAGGGUGCGAGCGUUGUCCGGAAUUACUGGGCGUAAAGAGCUCGUAGGCGGCUGGUCGCGUCUGUCGUGAAAUCCUCUGGCUUAACUGGGGGCUUGCGGUGGGUACGGGCCGGCUUGAGUGC
rnacentral:rRNA from 1 species